rnacentral:rRNA from 1 species
AACGAACGCUGGCGGCAUGCCUAACACAUGCAAGUCGAACGAGACCUUCGGGUCUAGUGGCGCACGGGUGCGUAACGCGUGGGAACCUGCCCUUAGGUUCGGAAUAACUCACCGAAAGGGGUGCUAAUACCGGAUAAUGUCUUAGGACCAAAGAUUUAUCGCCUUUGGAUGGGCCCGCGUUGGAUUAGCUAGUUGGCAGGGUAAAAGCCUACCAAGGCGACGAUCCAUAGCUGGUCUGAGAGGAUGAGCAGCCACACUGGGACUGAGACACGGCCCAGACUCCUACGGGAGGCAGCAGUGUGGAAUAUUGGACAACGGGCUAAGUCCUGAUCCAGCAAUGCCGCGUGAGUGAUGAAGUCCUUAGGGUUGUAAAGCUCUUUUACCCGGGAUGAUAAUGACAGUACCGGGAGAAUAAGCUCCGGCUAACUCCGUG